GGUGCGUAGGCGGCCUUUUAAGUCAGUGGUGAAAUCCUGCCGCUUAACGGUAGAAUUGCCAUUGAUACUGAAAGGCUUGAGUACAGUUGAGGUAAGCGGAAUGUGUAGUGUAGCGGUGAAAUGCUUAGAUAUUACACAGAACACCAAUUGCGAAGGCAGCUUACUAAGCUGGUAACUGACGCUGAUGCACGAAAGCGUGGGGAGCGAACAGGAUUAGAUACCCUGGUAGUCCACGCCGUAAACGAUGUUCACUCGCUGUUUGCGAUACACAGCAAGCGGCCAAGCGAAAGCAUUAAGUGAACCACCUGGGGAGUACGAUCGCAAGGUUGAAACUCAAAGGAAUUGACGGGGGCCCGCACAAGCGGAGGAACAUGUGGUUUAAUUCGAUGAUACGCGAGGAACCUUACCUGGGCUUAAAUGUAGAACGACAGGCUGUGAAAGCGGCUCUUCUUCGGACGUUUUACAAGGUGCUGCAUGGUUGUCGUCAGCUCGUGCCGUGAGGUGUCGGGUUAAGUCCCAUAACGAGCGCAACCCUUAUCGUUAGUUGCCAGCGGGUCAAGCCGGGGACUCUAGCGAGACUGCCACCGUAAGGUGUGAGGAAGGUGGGGAUGACGUCAAAUCAGCACGGCCCUUAUGUCCAGGGCUACACACGUGUUACAAUGGCCGAUACAAAGGGCAGCUACUUCGCGAGAAGAUGCUAAUCUCUAAAGUCGGUCUCAAUUCGGAUCGAAGUCUGCAACCCGACUUCGUGAAGCUGGAUUCGCUAGUAAUCGCAUAUCAGCCAUGAUGCGGUGAAUACGUUCCCGGGCCUUGUACACACCGCCCGUCAAACAAUGGAAGCUGGGGGUACCUGAAGUCUGUAACCGCUAAGGAGCG
rnacentral:rRNA from 1 species